rnacentral:rRNA from 1 species
UACGGAGGGUGCAAGCGUUGCUCGGAUUUACUGGGCGUAAAGCGCGCGUAGGCGGUUUAGUAAGUCUGGUGUGAAAUCCCACGACUCAAUCGUGGAAGUGCAUUGGAUACUGCUAGACUGGAGUACAGGAGGGGUAGGCGGAAUUCCUGGUGUAGAGGUGAAAUUCGUAGAUAUCAGGAGGAACAACGGCGGCGAAGGCGGCCUACUGGACUGUUACUGACGCUGAGGCGCGAAAGCGUCGGGAGCAAACAGG